rnacentral:rRNA from 1 species
ACUCCUACGGGAGGCAGCAGUGGGGAAUAUUGCACAAUGGGCGCAAGCCUGAUGCAGCCAUGCCGCGUGUAUGAAGAAGGCCUUCGGGUUGUAAGUACUUUCAGCAGUGAGGAAGGUGGGUAUGUUAAUAGCAUACUCAUUUUGACGUUUAGCUGCAGAAGAAGCACCGGCUAACUCCGUGCCAGCAGCCGCGGUAAUACGGAGGGUGCGAGCGUUAAUCGGAAUUACUGGGCGUAAAGCGCAUGCAGGUGGUUUGUUAAGUCAGAUGUGAAAGCCGGGGCUCAACCUCGGAAUUGCAUUUGAAACUGGCAAACUAGAGUACUGUAGAGGGGGUAGAAUUUCAGGUGUAG